UACGUAGGGUGCGAGCGUUGUCCGGAAUUAUUGGGCGUAAAGGGCUCGUAGGCGGUUUGUCACGUCAGGAGUGAAAACUCGGGGCUUAACCCCGAGCCUGCUUCUGAUACGGGCAGACUAGAGGUAUGCAGGGGAGAACGGAAUUCCUGGUGUAGCGGUGAAAUGCGCAGAUAUCAGGAGGAACACCGGUGGCGAAGGCGGUUCUCUGGGCAUUACCUGACGCUGAAACACGAAAGCGUGGGUAGCGAAUGGG
rnacentral:rRNA from 1 species